AUUGAACGCUGGCGGCAUGCUUUACACAUGCAAGUCGAACGGUAACAGGCCGCAAGGUGCUGACGAGUGGCGAACGGGUGAGUAAUGCAUCGGAACGUGCCCAGUCGUGGGGGAUAACUACUCGAAAGAGUAGCUAAUACCGCAUACGAUCUAUGGAUGAAAGCGGGGGACCGUAAGGCCUCGCGCGAUUGGAUCGGCCGAUGUCAGAUUAGGUAGUUGGUGGGGUAAAGGCUCACCAAGCCAACGAUCUGUAGCUGGUCUGAGAGGACAACCAGCCACACUGGGACUGAGACACGGCCCAGACUCCUACGGGAGGCAGCAGUGGGGAAUGUUGGACAAUGGGCGCAAGCCUGAUCCAGCAAUGCCGCGUGCAGGAAGAAGGCCUUCGGGUUGUAAACUGCUUUUGUACGGAACGAAACGGCUCUGGUUAAUACCCGGGGCUAAUGACGGUACCGUAAGAAGAAGCACCGGCUAACUACGUG
rnacentral:rRNA from 1 species